rnacentral:rRNA from 1 species
AUGGGAGAUUUCAAAGUAGAAAUAGAUGUCCAGUCUUACUUAACGAUUGUAGAUGGCAGAAGAGUGUACACAAGGGGCAAAACAUGGAAUUUUAUGGCCGGUCGGGGCUUGUCUGUGGCGCGGAUAAAGGAGGUUGUGGAGGAGAGGUACAAAUGGUCUGCUGAUCAGAGAAUGACCAUUUGGUAUGGAUCUGGAGAUAACGCCGUCCCAUUGAUCUCUGAAUCAGAGAUAGCCCAAUUGUUUGAUACAUGUUCUAACACAAAAGUAGUAAGGUUCGGUGUGACCAUUGAGAGCAAACAACAACGCAAUGAACCUGCUCCUGUCAUGACUGAGGAGAUGGAUGAUCAGCCGGUUCACGCUCCAUUCUUUGCUUGGCCGAAGCAAGCCUAUGAAGGAGAGUACGAGGAUGAUGAGCCUGUGGGAUGGAAUCAGGAGAACACCUAUUUGCAUGAGGAGAAUGCUGAAUCAAAGGAGAAUGCCGCACCACAGAAAAAUGUCGAGCCAAAGGCUGCAAGGGUUCCAUUGGGAACCCUGGAUGUUGACAACUCUUAUGAUCCACAACAUGUGCGAGGGGAUGAUGAGGCUUUACUUGCGAACAAUAUGGCUUCUACUUAUAUCCACGAUAAAAACAAUCCUCGAAUUGAAGUAGGAGCCACAUUUCCUAACUCUAAAGCAUUUAGAGUUGCAUUGAGACAACUAGCAAUUAGAGAAGAUUGGUCUUUUGGCACGCAGUAUAGUGACACUCAGAGAUUUAGGGCUAAUUGCACUGAUGAGGAUUGUCCACGGAGGAUACAUGCCUCAAAGUUACCGAACACUAAAACUUUCAUGGUAAAGAAACUUCCUUUUGGGCAUACUUGUGGGAGUACCAAUUGCAGCAAAGGAAUGGCAAAUAGAGAUUGGCUUGCUGAUAAAGGGAGUGCUGCACUUGAGGAGAAUCCCACGGUGAGUGCAAAACAACUUAGAGAAACUUUGCAAAAGGAGUAUGAUAUUAAGCUUCAGUACACCGAUGUUUGGAAAGGAAGAGCUCGUGCAAAGGAUCAAUUGGAAGGUACAUAUAAGGAGAAUUUUCAGCAGUUGUGGAACUUCAGAGCCGAAUUGUUGGCAGCCAAUCCUGGAAGUAUAUUUGAGAUAGACAUAAAAACAACUACCAACAAAAAGGGUGACAUUGUGCAUGUUUUUAAUAGGUUGUUCAUUGCCUUCAAGCCAUGCAUUGAUGGAUUUUUGGCAGGGUGCAGACCAUAUUUGGGGGUUGAUGCAACUUUUCUUAGUGGGAAAUACACCGGACAAUUGGCAGCCGCAAUUGGUGUGGAUGGGCAUAGUUGGAUGUUUCCGGUAGCAUUUGGAAUAUUUGAGAAAGAAAAUACAGAAAAUUGGGUAUGGUUCAUGGAGCAACUGAAAUUGGCCAUUGGAGAGCCACAAGGGCUUGCGGUCCAUAUAGAUGCAUGUAAGGGGUUGGAGAAUGCCGUUUCUAAGGUCUACCCAAAUUGUGAACAUAGAGAAUGCAUGAUGCAUCUAAUGCUUAACUUCAAGAAAAAGUUCAAAGGUGACAUACUAGAUAAUAUGUGGCCUGCAGCUUGGACAUAUGAAGUAGAGAAGCAUGCUUCCAGGAUGGCAGAAAUACAAGCACAAAGCGCCGAAGCAAUAGCCUAUUUGAACAUGCAUCACAACCGUGUGUGGACAAGAAGCAAAUUUUCAACAAUGACAAAAGUUGAGUAUGUGUGCAAUAAUUUGGCAGAGGUUUUCAAUAAUUGGAUUAAGGACAUGAAGCAGCUUGCAUUGGUUGAGCUUUUGGACAACCUUAGGGAAAUGAUAAUGAAAUUGUUAGAGAAAAGGAGAGCCGUUGCCGGUGCGCUUCUAGGUUACAUACUACCUAGUGUGAUAAAGGAGUUGAAUUUGAAAAGCAAGGGGCUGCAUUAUUUGGAAGCAAGAGCAUCGCCAAAUAUAGCUGAGAUUUCAGGAAAUGGAUGGAGGCACACCGUUAACUUGGAGAAAAAUGAGUGCUCUUGUAGGAGAUGGAAAAUUUGUGGUAAGCCAUGCACACAUGCUCUUCGGUUCAUAUUCUCCAAAAAAGCCAAGCUUGAGGAUUAUAUUGAUGAGUGCUUCUCAGUGGCAAGGUUCAAAGCGGCAUAUGAGGGAAUUCUCAUGCCAAUUAGGGGCAGGUCCCAAUGGCCCAAGGUAAAUCCUGGAUUUGAUAUGAUCCCUCCCAAGCUUACCAAGAGUGCUGGACGUCCAAGAACUAGGAGGAUAAAGAAUUACACCGAAGGUGGAACCGGCAGAAAACAUAAAUGCAAAAGGUGUGGAGCAUUAGGUCAUCUUCGGAAGACAUGCAAGGAGCCAGAGAUUGAAAGUGACGCGGACCGAGAUGCUACUCCUCCUCCACGGAAAAAAUCAAAGGUUGAAGCAAGCAUUGCAGCUACUUCUUCUCCUAUUACACCAACUAAGCAAGGUACUCAACUUGGUACUCCUACAAGUCCAAUGACAAGGCAAAGGGCAGCAACUAUUGCAAUUGCUUCAACACCUCCUAGUGCCUCUACAAGGAGCAAAACUGCUGCUCCUAGCCCUCUUCGCAAUGCCAUGUGA